UUUUAGAUAUUUUAAUAAAAAUUUUAUUUUGUGAAAAUAAAGAUGUUCGUCCAACUCUAAAAA
rnacentral:tRNA from 1 species